rnacentral:lncRNA from 1 species
AAUAGCAAAUAAUCGAUUAUGUAUGUUUAACAAUCGAUUACAUUGAGACAGUGCUUAAACUGAAAUUUUCAAACUGCAAAGUAAUCGAUUUUGGAAAACAUAUAAUCGACUAUCUGAUUUAGUUAGUCGAAUAACCUCAGCAGAUUUCGAAAAUAUUGUUUAAGUAUGAAACAAACGGAUUGAAUUAGUUUAUUCUCAUGUUCGUAUAUUUUCUUUU